CUGGAUUAAACUGUCUGAUCCCAAAUCUCCAGUCUCACUGCCACAGCACAUACACAUUGACGAUAACGGGACAUUAGUCAUCUCGACCAUCCAGAGGUCAGAUUCAGGAGAUUAUCAGUGCACUGCAGAAAACAGAGUUGGUCAGGAUGCCAGACGUGUCACUAUAACAGUAACUGACCCUGAUGUUCCACCUGAUAAGGAAGCUCUGAGUAAAACAGCUAAACCCACUGUUCCAGAGAGUGAGCAGGAGUUAUUUACUCUCUAUGGUUCAAAGCUGCUGAAUAAUACAGAGAUUAACGAACCUCUCCAUCAAACCACCGAAGA